rnacentral:rRNA from 1 species
UACGAAAAAAGCUAGCGUUGUUCGGAAUCACUGGGCGUAAAGCGCACGUAGGCGGAUUUUUAAGUCAAAGGUGAAAUCCCGAGGCUCAACCUCGGAACUGCCUUUGAUACUGGGAAUCUUGAGUAUGGUAGAGGUUGGUGGAACAGCAAGUGUAGAGGUGAAAUUCGUAGAUAUUUGCUAGAACACCAGUGGCGAAGGCGGCCAACUGGACCAUAACUGACGCUGAGGUGCGAAAGCGUGGGGAGCAAACAGG